rnacentral:rRNA from 1 species
AUGCCUAGUAAGAGAAAAUCCAUCCUGUCGCUCGAUACUCUUCGCCGUCGCCCUCCAUCCUCUUCCGUUCGUCCCCUCGCCGUCGCCGAUUCCAACCUGGCCGGCGAGUGGCGACUGCCACGCCGAAGCCGGGACGCCCCUUCUCGGAUCGAGAUAGAUCAUCUCAGCUGUUCCCGGUCUAAGCCUCCAAGGCGAGAUGUCGUCGACGACGACCACCAAGAGAGCGAGGGUCGUCGUAGCCAUAGGAUCGCUUGGCACGUUGGUGCUACCGGACGAGGUGACGACAGAGGUGCUCCUGCGGCCGCCCGUCAGAUCCAUCCUCCGCUUCCGCGCCGUCUGCCGCUCCUGGGCCGUCGCGCUCUCGUCGGAGGAGUUCUGCAGCCUCCACACGGCCAAAGCCGAGGCGGAGGCCAAGGCGGCGCCGCAACUAAGCUCAUAUUCAUCUCGCCGUCAGCAGCAUAUGACUCCAUCGGGGUGUAUCUGGGCUCGUCAUCGGACUCUAGCAAUGGCCCGCUGUUUACUCUCGACGACGUGCGCGGCGACUUUGCAAUCUUAUCACCUUCGCCGUGCCACGGCCUCACUCUCCUGCACGACCCGGUGGCGCCGGCCUAUUACGUCUUCAACGCGGCCACACGGGCGGUCACCCGGCUGCCGCCUUGCCAGCACGCCAUCUUCUCGACUGCUGGCCUCGGCUUUGACGCCAGCACCAAGGAGUACAAGGUCGUGAGGCUGAGGGUGGCCUGUGGGAAACUGGACGAGAAGCAGAGGAUCGGGUGCGAGGUGUACGUCCUCGGCGGCGAGCAUGGAGAUCGUUGGAGGCCACCUGUUGGUGGUGUGCCAUUCAGGUUCUGCCACUUUAUUCAGACCGCCAUUAUAACAGCAACAUGGACUCAAGGUAAGCUACCACCGAUAUUUGCGGAUGGAUUUCUGCCACCGGUAUUUGCAGACGGAUUUCUGCAUUGGCUUAUUUACCCAAGUGCUGGGCCAAGCGCUGCCGUAUUAUCAUUUUCUCUCAAAGAUGAGACCUUCGUCUGCGUCCGGUCGCCGCCUUUUGAGGAACCACAACCCGAAGUGCACUUGGUGGACCUCGCUGGCCGCUUGUGUAUGGUCCGGGACCUUCGUGCUCAAAACAGUGGUAUGAUGGAGAUCUGGAACUACAGCUCUAGUGAUUGGUCUUUGUUGCAUAGCAUUGAUUUGUCGCGGCACCUUGAAGGAGACUCUUUGUUAGGUCCGCAGAUUAUCAGAGCUAUCGGUUAUUUUGGCGACUGUGGACCGAUGGAAAAGGUGAUCUUGGCAACUUCCAAUGGCAAGGUGAUCACAUAUGACCUGCUGUCUAGGACUCUCGACACCAUUCUUGCAAUACCGGAGACUUCAUUUUAUAAGACCGAUAAGCAGUAUGCUCCUAGAUUCAGUUUAUUCAAAGAGAGUCUUGCUCCGGUACACAAAACCAACGUAGAGAUGGCGUUAUCAUCUCCGCUAACUAAAGUUAUCAAGGAGAUCCUACUCCGACUCCCAGGUGAUUUUGCCACACAGUUCAAACUUGUAAGCAAGCAGUGGCUUAGUUUGAUCGAGAGUGGAAGUUUCAUUCGCUCUUACCAUGCACAUAACAACAUGGACAGGGAGCCAAGAGUCAUGCUUGUCGGCAAGGGGCCAGGAGGAUUGGGUUUCAGCUUUGCUCCCUCGAAGAAAUUGCUUCGCGAUGGUCCUGGCCAAGGCGCAUGGCUUGAUACAAAGGUGGUUUGCUCUAAGCCUUGCCAUGGUAUGAACCUGAUAAGUACUGUGACCGAGGACUAUUUGUACAAUCCUUCCACAGGUUAUCACCAUAACUACCAUGCAGUAGUGUGGCCACACCAACUGCGCCGCCGUGUACUCGCAAUGAAGCAUGGCAAUGUAUGUACACUAGAAGACCACGCUUUCACAGUUGGCAACAAGAAUGCUGGUCUGGGGUUGAACAUGUUGAAACAGGAGCAUGUUGUCGUUCAGAUUUUCUAUCACUUGAAGGACUUCGAAUCUCGACAGUAUUUCCUGACACGCUCAGUCAUUGGACUCAGGUCGAUCCAACACAACCUUCAACCCCAUCUGCCUAUAAAUAGCAUGCCACCUGCCUAUGUAGCAGGAGUUUUAUACUGGAUGAGUGAACCAAGGUUGUUGGAGAUUCAUAAGAGGGUCAUUGUAUCAUUUGACGUCACAAAAAUGAUGUUUGAUCUCGUCCCUUGCCCUUCACCCAUCGCAAUGUGGAGUGACACGAGUCCUUGCCAAGCAUUUGUGAUCGAGCUUGAGGGAACGUUAUGUGCGGUCCUUGCUGAUCCUGUCGCAGAAGAAUUAGAUAUUUGGAAGCUGGAGCAUGGUCGCUGGGACAGAGCAUAUAAACUCUAUUUAAAAGGUUGGUCGGGCUAUUCCCUUGGAGAAAACGUUGUGAUGCCGUUGCUUGUCGACCCCAGAGACGGGAGAAUCUUGCUCAACACGGGAAGAAAACUGGGUCUUUAUGAUCCGGCAAGGCGCACGAUUGAGAACUUGUAUGAUCUUGAUGGGGUGCUGCAGGUAGCAUCUCCAGGGCAAUCUUCACGCCUUGGAAUGAAUCAAGAUGGACACAUUACGAAAGGCGAACAAUCCAAAACAAUAAGGUGUGCAUCAAGGGUGCUCUCUGGCGUAUAUAUAUAUAUAUAA